rnacentral:rRNA from 1 species
GACGAACGCUGGCGGCGUGCUUAACACAUGCAAGUCGAACGGAAAGGCCCUGCUUUUGUGGGGUGCUCGAGUGGCGAACGGGUGAGUAACACGUGAGUAACCUGCCCUUGACUUUGGGAUAACUUCAGGAAACUGGUGCUAAUACCGGAUAGGAGCUCCUGCUGCAUGGUGGGGGUUGGAAAGUUUAGGCGGUGGGGGAUGGACUGGCGGCUUAUCAGCUUGUUGGUUGGGGAGUGGCUUACCAAGGCUUUGGCGGGUAGCCGGCCUGAGAGGGUGACCGGCCACAUUGGGACUGAGAUACGGCCCAGACUCCUACGGGAGGCAGCAGUGGGGAAUAUUGCACAAUGGGCGGAAGCCUGAUGAAGCAACGCCGCGUGCGGGAUGAAGGCCUUCGGGUUGUAAACCGCUUUAGCCUGUGACGAAGCGUGAGUGACGGUAAUGGGUAAAGAAGCACCGGCUAACUACGUG